rnacentral:lncRNA from 1 species
CCUUCUCGGUGUAACUAGGUCAGCGCAAGGUGAUCCUGAGGAGAUAGGCGGCGCUCGGGGGGCGCCCUCGUUCCUCUUAUCGCGCCUUUGUCCCUCCCUCCGUUCCUUGCCCCGCACCCUCACUUUCGCCGCCCUGUGCGUUGCCUGUCCCGGAACUGGUUCCCUCAAGCCGCCCUCACCUGUUCUGACUUCCCCUCGAGGCACAAUAGCCUGAGAGAUCAGACGUGGGAGAUUAGAUUGCUCGGCGUCAGACCUACUUCUAGGCAACCCCCCCUAGACUGGAGCUGCUCGUCGUGGACAUUAGGAUCUAGUUGGGCAUGAGCCCUUAACUUAAGGGUCGGGGGGGAAGUGGCGGGUGCGGAGAGGAGGCGUGGAGAGUGUGAGGAAGAAGAGAGGCACUCUGAGAAGAAGUCGAACAACUAACCCCUCAUUUGGCCUGGUUUGGGUGAGAAGAUUGAGUCACUUGGGGAAAAAAAUAUUGGAGAAGUCAGAGAAGGUGUAAAUCAGUGGUGCCACAAACACCAGUUUACUUCCACUUUUCACCCCCCGGGUCUGUUUUGUCUGCGUGCAGCUCUCCUCGUGUCGGAGACGCUGAGUCAGUUCUCUACUGGUCUUGCCCUCUUCCGGAAAAAGAAAACACACCUGAGAAGUGGUAGUUCCUAUCCUAACCUACUGGGGCCCUUUAUACCAGGUGCCAAACUUCAUUAUCCACCCCACCACCUUGCCCGGGAGGGAGAUCUGUGAAAGCGAAACGUGAUUUAAGCUGGGAUCUGGCAGCAACUUCGUGGACUCUGAAGGGCACGUGGGAAAGGAGUUUUGAUUGAAGAAACCAAUGGCUGCAUUAAAUGAGUCUAUAGAAGAUUUUUCAUCUCUGGACAUGUCUAAUUGCAGAGCUCUAAUUGGAGGAACGUGUGGCAGUAUCUGAAAGGAGAAAAUAGGUGCUUGCUGCUUUGUUUCUGUCAAAACCUCUGAUGUUAGAAUAUGUACAAAAAAUGGGCACAAAAAGUUGGCUACAUAUAGCUUAAAGUGGGAAAAAUAAGCAAGAAGAUAAUUCUUACAGGUUCGCCAAGUGUGGCCUCAUGACCAGCAGCAUUUGUCACCUGGAAGUUUGUUAAUAAUUCAAAAUCUUGAGCCCCACCCCAGACUUACUGAGUCAGAGGCUCUGGGAGUGGAGCCCAGCAACCAGUGUUUUAACAAGCCCUUCAGACAAUGUUUUUUUUUUUUUUUUGAGACGAAGUCUUGCUCUGUCGCCCAGGCUGGAGCGCAGUGGCACAAUCUCGGCUCACUGCAAGUUCCGCCUCCCGAGUUCACGCCAUUCUCCUGCCUCAGCCUCCCGAGUAGCUGGGACUACAGGCGCCCGCCACCAUGGCCGGCUAAUUUUUUUUAUUUUUAAUAGAGACGGGGUUUCACUGUGUUAGCCAGGAUGGUCUCCCCUCGUGAUCCGCCCACCUCGGCCUCCCAAAGUGCUGGGAUUACAGGCGUGAGCCACCGCGCCAGGCCCAGAGAAGGUUAAUGAAUGCUAAAGUUUGCGAACCACCGUUUGAUAGGCUGAAAAUGGCACCUCAAAAGACAGUGCAUCUGAAUCCCUGGAACUUAUAAAAUAUUAUCUUAUUUGGCAAUAGGGUCUUUGCAGAUCUGAUUAAAGAUCUUAAGACAAGAAAUUAUCCUAGAUUACCUGGAUGAAUCCUAAAUACCGGCACAAGGACCCUUUUAAGAGAGAGACAGAGGGAGAUUACACACAUGGAAGAGGAGGAGGCACUGUGAUCACAGAGGCAGAGCCUGGAGUGACGCAGUAACAACCAAGGGAUGAGGGCAGCCACCGGAAACUGGAAAAGGAAAUGAAUGGAUUCUCCCCUACAGCAUGUGGAAGGAACACAGGCGGCUUUGCUGACCUCUUGAUUUCAGCCCAGUGAAACUGACUUCAAAUUUCCGAAUCAUAGUUCUGAAUUAGAACUGUGAGAAAGUGAAUUUCCGUUGUUUUAAGCUAUCAAGUUUGUGGCAAUUUGUUACAGAAGCCACAGGAAAGGAAUACACUCCUCAUAAAGAAUGAGGAGAUAUAUGCUAAACUACUUAAAAAUUUGUUAGAGUCUUAUAAGAAAAUAUACUUGUUAUUAUUUUCUAAAUAUCUAAAAUUAGUGAUCCUUUUGUAAAAUUUGCCACUUCUUAAACAUUUUUCCCAACACAGCUUGCCAUCAAAUGUUAAAGUGUAAUAAUUUUCAUAAUAUUGGCAUCAAACAUGGCCUUUAUAUAUCUUAAUUUUCAUAUGAUAGCACAUCCCACAGGAAAGAAAAUAAAUUCUCUUGACAGGAGGGAAAAAAAAACAGGACAUAUUUUGCUUAUAGGUGAGAUUUGCAUAGGUUAGAAAGCUGUCAUAAAGCUUUUUUAUGGUUAAGGAAAUGUUUUGUGGGAAAUAAUAUUGGCAUUUAUUUAUAGGAAAAUGUUUCACAAUAAAUAUUAGAAGAUAGUCUAUGUAUAAUCUAUGCUACUUGAUAAAAUAGUCGAGCUUUUAAAAAGAGAUCUGGAACACCUGGAACUUGUAAUAAUUUGUCUUCUGCACAAUGCUUCUCAGAUCAUUGUUAUAUAUAUAUAGAUAGCUCUAUAUAUGAAUAUAUAAAAGAAUAUGUAUAUAAAUAUGUACCCAUUUAAUUCUUACAACUGCAUACUAUAUGAGAUGAGCAGGUCAAGUAUUUUUAUUUUUCUUAUAUUACAGAUUAAAAAGUGAUGCUCAAAGAAGUUAAAUAACCGGCCCAAAUUCACAAAAAAAUGUAGAUACUAGAUUUUGUAUUAGAAACUACCUAAAUCUCCUGACAAUGCUAUUUCCAGGGUUUCAGGUUUCUUCAGCUGACCUCAACUGGGCAAAUUAAUAUUUGUGGUUAAUUACACUCUGGUUUAGAGACACUGUGAUCUGUUUCAACCAAUUCAAUAGGCAUUGCUGAGCAUCUAUUGUGUGUCUGAAACUGUGCUAGUUCAUCUAGGGGAACACAGAGAAAGUGCCAGACAUAUUACUGGUAGGGAGGAAAUGCCUAUGUAAAUGAAACAAAUAAGAAGGAGAAAGAAUAAAACCAAAUGCCUCAAUCUGGGAGAUUUCAUGCAGAAAAACCUUGAAGAAUGGAUGUGAUUCAGGAGGUGAAAGUUAGAAAAGCAUUGCAGGAGGCAAAAGAGUGUGUUGGGGAGUGGCGGGAGUGAAACAGCAUGAACAAAAGCGUAGAGAUUGAAAUAACAGGUGGCACCCAGAGAAAGUGAAGUGACAGCCUGAGGUGCCAGGAGCACCAUGUAUAUGUUGGGUCUUGUUCUGUCACCUAGGCUGGAGUGGCAUGAUCAUGGCUCACUGCAACUUCUGCCUCCCUGGCUCCCAGCCUCAAGUGAUCCUCCCACUCCAGUCCCCUGAAGCAACUGGGACCACAGAGUAAUUUUAUGCUGAUUGAAGAAAAGAAGUAAACAGAGUUCCAGAAAGCAACUGCAAAUACUCAUUUUGAAAAAGAAAACAAAACAAAAACAAGGGAGACAUUUUAAAAGGUGCUAAAGCAACAGGACCAGUUGCCAGAGAGCUUAUUUUACCUCCCCAAAACAAGAUUGGUGUUUCAUCCUUGAGUUUAGUACACAGGAUUGUUCUUAUUCUUCUGCAGAUAGAGAGGUGCACUGCUUUAUGCUGCAAGUUGUCUAUAAGACAAGUUUUGUGAGUAUCAAAUAUUUGUAAGCAAAUCAAAUUUCUCCCCCAGUUGAAAUGAUUAUUUCAGAAGAAUUUCUUCUUUGUUUUGAAUUGGACUUCUGAGUUGGACUUCUCAGCAUGAUAAAGAAGAAAGAGCAUUAGAAUAAGAAAGAAGAUUAAGCUUCUUGUUUUGAUUAUGCCCAUAAUCAGCUGUGGGACCCCGGGCUAAUGCACUCCAAAAUCCCACUGUUCUGUGACCUUGCUAUGUGGGGCAUCAGCCUCCUCAUCUCUAAUAUUUUGGAUUUAAGUUAGUUGAUUUUUAUGGUCCCGCAAUGGAAUUCUUUAAACAACUCCACUAAUCCAUGAUACUGUUGCUUUAAAAAUCUUGGUUUUAGCUUUCCUCUAAGGAAUUUAUAGUGACAAUUAUCUACUUUUUUUUUCUUAAAUAAAAAUAGAGGUGGGGUUUUGCCAUGUUGCCCAGGCUGGUCUCAAACUCUUGGGCUCAAGUGAUCUGCCCACCUUGGCCUCCUAAAGUGCUGGGAUGACAGGUGUGAGCCACUGUACCCGGCCAGACCAUAUGUCUCUAGCAUUUUGAUAACAUUCUCUACAAUCUGGGCCCUGUAUAACUCCCCAGUCUUCAGACUACUACUCUCUAUGCUCACAUCUUUGGCGAUUUUAUACUCUUUGCCAAUUUAGAUGCCAUUUGUUUUUUCGUUUCCAGUAGAUUAGUAUGUCCAACCCAGAUUUUGGUAAACCCUAGACUCAUUCUACAGUCUGUGACAUCUCCAUUUGGAUUUCUUAUUGGCAUCUCAGACUCCAUAUGUCUAACCUGGAAUGCCUGAUCUCCAUUGCCUCCUAAACCGGCUUCUCUCACGGCUCUCCCAUCUCGGGGCCCAGCAUCUCAGACCUUUGCCUUGCUUACACCAGACAUUUUGUUGUUAUCUGUACCACCUCCUUCUCGUGCAGUCUACUUGAUGCCACCUAAUUGGUAUCCCUGGCUUCUGCCCUUGUUCUCUUAACGAAUCAUUUUCCAAACAGCAGCCAGAGUGAUCCUUUCAAAAAUGGAUUCAGAAAUCAUGUCACUGCUCUGCCCAAAGUUCCCAAAUGACUUCCCAGUCACUCAGAGCACAAGCUGACGCUCGACACAUCUGGGCCCCGUAAGAUUUUCAUUUCUGCUCCUCCUCCUUUUGCUCACUCUGCCCCUGCCACAUUGGUCUCCUGCUUUCCCGGAACUUGCCCAACAUGUUCCUCCCUCAGGGCCUUCACAUUUGUCAUUUCCUGUCCUAUGAUGCUCUUCCUGCAGAUAUCUACAGCAGCUCCCCGCUGCUCCUUUUGCAGGUUUUUGUUCAGAUGUCAUCUUCCUGGUGAGCUCUUCCCUGAACAACUCCUCACCCCCUCCACCUUGCCCCUGGGACUCCCUUUGACCUUUCUCGGAUUGUUUUCCCUGUAACUCUUGCCACCACCUCAUACAGGGCUUCUCAAGCUUGGCAUGAUUGGCAUUUUGGGACAGUUCUUUGUUGCGGGCUAUUAUCCUGUGCCUUGCAGGAUGUUUAGCAGCAUCACCACCCUCGACCCACUCAAUACCUGCAACUUUCCUCCCUAGGUUGUGACAGCCAGAAAUGUCUCCAGACACUGCCAAAUGUCUCCUGGGGGACAAAACCACCCCUGGUUGAGAAUCUUUGAUAUAAUGUAAAUAUGCAUUUUACCUAUGUAUUUGUUUAUUGUUCCUCCCUUCCCCACCAAUAAAAUAUAAUCUCCAUGAGAACAGGAAUUUUUGUGUCUAUUUUCCACUGAUGUAAUGCAGGCACUCUGAAUAGGGUAUGAUGCAUAGUAGGUGCUCAAACAGAUAUUUCACUGGUGAAUAAAUGAAAUGUGCUCUGACCUUGUUCCUCUGUGCUCAUUAAGCUCUAGCCACACUGACCUUUCUUCCACCUCUCAGACAUCUGAAGCUCCUUCUCACCUUUCAGUCUUUUUCUUUCAGAUCUCACUCCUGGAAAGCUCUAUUCGCAGGUCUCUGUUUACUUGUUACUCAGGUCCAAUAACACCUGCUUAGAGAGGCUUCCCUGAUCACCGUAUCCUACAUGACCCUCCCUGCCAGCCAGAGUCACUGUCUAUAUUGUUACUGUGUUUUAGUUUCUGCAUUACAUUUGUCUUGGAAAUUAUCUUGUUUACGUGGCAGGUGUACAUCUUGCUCCCUUAAAUGAAUGCUCCUUGACCACUCCACAUUAUCUGCUUUGUUUAUUAACGGCAGUAAUCUAAAACAGUAGUCUAAAACAGUGCAAGGCCCAUCGUUGAUGGGCUGAUUAAAUAAGUAUGCCUGUCUUUUAAUCAAUUCAGGGUGGAAGAGAGUCUCUAUAGAAAGGGUUUAAGGGCUGUGUCUGUCAAGGUCCAGUAGCAAAAAAAAAGAAAAAAGAAAAAAAAAGAGUCUGCUCUAGCUAAUUUGAACAGAAAGGGAUUAAUUAGAGAAUGUGGUUCACCAUCGAGAAGGCUGCAGCAACAUCCUCCACAGUGAGCUUUCAGGAACCACCUUGGAAACCACACACUGACUGGGCCACCAAGGUAGAGACUGCUCUUCUUUGAUUGGGAGAACUACAGCCAAGCUGGGACACUGAGGGGUCAGCUGCUGGGUCUGGGACCAAAUGACCACUUCUGGGAAGAUCACACCUGCAUGAAAAGGAGGUCAGCACUACUGGGAACUGACAAGAUCAAGAGACUGGGGUAAUGACUCUGUGUGGUUCUCCCCGUGUACAUGUUAAUAAAAUGUAUAUCCCUUUUCUCCAAUUAAAAAAAAAUUCCCUAGCAAGUUGACUCAGAAGAAAUAAAUGAAUACUCUCAAAAAACUGCGUCAGAAAAACCAGACACUUCCACUCUAGUGUUGGCUAACAGGAAGCGACAAAGCAGCGGAAGCUUAUUUGUCUUGUCUUCUAGCUCUCAUGCCAGUACGCAUGAUUGGUGGAACAAAACCUCGGCUACUAGGAAGUCUGGGAGAUGUGGCUUUUAGCUUUCCAGUCUCUGUAGCAUGGAGGGCACAUUGGGAACAGGUUAGAAUGGCUGUGAGGGCUGCUAAUCCACUAUACAUAGGAUGGACAGAUGAUUGAUUAUUAAAAAGUUAAUGAAUCUUCAAGUUUAUAUUUGCCAGGCAAGAAGGUCUCAGUAAAACCAAACCAAAAAGGGCCAGGCACUAUUACGAGGCUCAUGCCUGUAAUCCCAGCACUUUGGGAGGCCGAGGUGGGCAGAUCACCUGAGGUCAGGAGUUCAAGACCAGCCUGGCCAACAUGGCAAAACCCUGUAUCUACUAAAAAUACAAAAAAAAAAAAAAAAAAAAAAAAAAAGCCAGGCAUAGUGGUGGGUGCCUGUAAUCCCAGCUACUCAGGAGGCUGAGGCAGGCGAAUUGCUUGAAUCAGGGAGCAGGAGGUUG